UACGUAGGGGGCAAGCGUUAUCCGGAAUUACUGGGUGUAAAGGGUGCGUAGGCGGCACGCCAAGUCAGUUGUGAAACCCGUAGGCUCAACCUACGGCUUGCAAUUGAAACUGGCGAGCUAGAGUACAGGAGAGGAAAGCGGAAUUCCUAGUGUAGCGGUGAAAUGCGUAGAUAUUAGGAAGAACACCGGUGGCGAAGGCGGCUUUCUGGACUGAAACUGACGCUGAGGCACGAAAGCGUG
rnacentral:rRNA from 1 species